UUCAGAGAACUGGAAAGUUAAGUCUUGCAUUCACCACAGAACAUGCAGAGCAUAGGCAAUGUCUCUGCUCCCCGGCAUCGCUGAGUCUCAGCCCUGACCUGAAGGGACCCAGCCAGCAGGGAUGAGAAGRUAGUUUUCUGUUCAUUAAGUCCUUAGGGGCU
rnacentral:sRNA from 1 species